rnacentral:rRNA from 1 species
CCUACGGGUGGCUGCAGUGAGGAAUAUUGGUCAAUGGCCGCGAGCCUGAACCAGCCAAGUCGCGUGAGGGAUGACUGUCCUAUGGAUUGUAAACCUCUUUUAUCAAGGAGCAAAGUGCGGCACGUGUGGCUCUUUGCGUGUACUUUAUGAAUAAGCAUCGGCUAACUCCGUGCCAGCAGCCGCGGUAAUACGGAGGAUCCGAGCGUUAUCCGGAUUUAUUGGGUUAAAAGGGUGCGUAGGCGGUAUGUAAAGUCAGUGGUAAAAUUUGGGGGCUCAACCCCGUAGUGCCAUUGAAACUGGCGUUCUUGAGUGAAGGAGAGGUAUGCGGAAUGCGUGGUGUAGCGGUGAAAUGCAUAGAUAUCACGAAGAACUCCGAUUGCGAAGGCAGCCUAC